AGACCCUUGGAGAAAUGUCUGACACCCGGGUUUCUGCAGUCUGGAGAAACCCAAAGCCUGCUGCUGUGAUGUUACUGAAUUUCAGGGUUUCCCUGCUCAGCUCUUCUCUGCUCCCAGGCUUGGUUUCCUGCAUCCUGGAACCCCAUCCACGUGGGUAGGAAACUUGGUUGCUUCACCAGUUUCCAUAACGACAGAAUGUAACAAAGCCCUAUGCUACUCCCAUAGGUCAUCCGAGGAGUUGUCGAACUAGACAUCCAGAAAGGGCUUGCACUGAGCUCUUCACAGCAAUGAAAAAACCCACAGUUGGCAUUCCUGGCUAAUGAGAUGAAAGGUGGGAGAUCUGAGAGACAGACGGGAAGUGCAGUGUUUACUCGCUGAGGGCCACCAGAUUUAGAUGAGGAGGUAAUCAGAGAGAGGAGGCCAUGGAGGUUCCAGCGCACCCUCACUCUCCCUAACUUAUCAUCCAGCUGACAUCCCAACUGCCAGCCCUGCUGACCAACAGCUGUCCUCCGUCUUCUAGACACCUGGCAGGCAAGACAACAGCCUCCCAAAGAUCCCUCCACCUGCUUUCCCUCUACGGCCCCACCUCACCAGCUAGAUGUGCCUGACUUCUCAGAUGGGCUGGCUGGUGACUCCUCUGGUCUUCCACAGCCCCUCCCAGACCUUUGCAUCCCCAGCUCCUCCCACGAUUAUGAAAGGCCUAAUUCCUACCAUACAUCCCUUACCCCAUGAUUCAUGGUGGCUCUGCUUCUCUGAUGGAGCCCUGACCCAUACGCAUCCAGAGCCUUUACAGAAAAAGCAGCCAGAGGCUGGAGGCAGUAAAUCACAUGGGAAUCACAUGGAGAGCUUUAGAGAAAAUGCUGAUGCCUGGGUCUUGUGCUAGAGUCUGAUUUAAUUGACCCCAGGUUUGUAGUGCAGCCAUUGCAAGUUUUAAAAGCAGUUGGGGGUGAUUGUGCCCACCUCCACCUCCCACCGCACAGACGUCCCUUCACCUCUUCCCUGGGUGAAGUAGAAGCUGGUUGCUUACAGAUGACUCAUCUUCUUACUUUCUCUUUAUAAUUUUUUUCUUGAUGAAAAUUGGUCUCAGCCUGAAAGUAUAAAAUCUGUCCAACAUUAGCAUGGCUCCUGGCAUGCCAAUAGGUACCUCUCUUUCGAGUUGCUUCAAAUCGUGAUUGGAAUCAGAAUGAAAUGUAUGUUUGUGGUCUCCCAUGGCAUAUGAAAAUCCCAGUGCCAUCUGUUGUCUUCAUCAUCGUGUCCGUUAUCAAAAUACAUUGAUUAAGACUUUAA